UACGGGGGGUGCUAACGUUAUCCGGAAUUACUGGGCGUAAAGAGUAUGUAGGUGGUUUUGUGCGUCGACGAUGAAAGACUAUCGCUUAACGAUAGGAACGUUUUCGAUACGGCAAAACUAGAGAGAAGCAGGGGUGCACGGAACUUUCGGUGUAGGAGUGAAAUCCGUAGAUAUCGAAAGGAACACCAAUGGCGAAGGCAGUGCACUGGGCUUUUUCUGACACUGAGAUACGAAAGCGUGGGGAGCAAACGGG
rnacentral:rRNA from 1 species